GACGGAGGGGGCUAGCGUUGUUCGGAAUGACUGGGCGUAAAGGGCGCGUAGGCGGUUUUUUAAGUGAGGCGUGAAAGCCCUGGGCUUAACCCAGGAGGUGCGUUUCAUACUGGAAGGCUUGAGUACGAGAGAGGAAAGUGGAAUUCCUAGUGUAGAGGUGAAAUUCGUAGAUAUCAGGAGGAACACCGGUGGCGAAGGCGGGUCUCUGGGCAGUAACUGACGCUGGAGGAGCGAAAGCGUGGGGAGCGAACAGG
rnacentral:rRNA from 1 species